CUGGGUAAUUUAUAUAUUAAAAAAGUUUAUUUAGCUCAUAGUUCUAGUGGCUGGAAGUCCACAGUGCCGGCAUCUGUGAGGGCCUUCUUGCUGCCUCACCUCAUGGCAGAGGGCAUCACAUGGUGAGAGCAGGAGCAAGGGAGCCAGGGAGAGCUCACUUGCAUAACAAUAAUGCUCCUGUGAUAAUAAACCCACUUCUGUGACAGCAACAUGCAUCCCAUCAUGAGAAUAGAGCUCUCAUUCAUCCAUUCAUCUCAUCACAGGGGCAGAAGGAUUAAGUUUCUAACACAUGAACUUUUGGGGGACACAUUCAAUACAUAGCACUCCCAAAAUAUUCACUAAGAGCGAGAGUAAAUUGAUUUAAUUUCGGACUGUUCUUGGCAGUCCAAAAGCAGAGUUUCCAAGUUUUACAAUAGAUAAUUAAAAUGAUUGAAUAAUAUUCUAAAAAAAAAAAAAACCAACCUUCAGAAGAAAGUUAGAAAAUCUGAAGAUGAAAUUUUUUAAGGCAUAAAAUACGUGCAGUUUAUAGACAAUGCAGACAUGCUAAGAAGUGAAAAUGUGCUUUGACAUUCUCAGAUUGGUUAAGGAUUUUGCAACAAAAUAACUUACUUACCAGUGUCAGGGCAUGAUAGAAUAUGAGUUCCUAAUGAAUUUUUAUGCGUGGGUUUCUGUGACCCAAAUUAUGCUGAAGAAAGUGAGAGACACCACCUUUUUAAAAAUUUUACAUAGCCUGUGGCCACUGCAAUUACUUAAUCCCUUUGGAAAAUUGCUGAAGCCUGGCACGUUUUGUAAUGAACUUUGUCUCUUCACUACCAAAAGUCAUUAAAAGUAACUUAAGUGAGGAAAGAAACACAAUCGAUAAUUGAAUAUUUCAAAGGGAUCGGCAUUUUUAAAAACUGGCUUUUUGGAUUGGCUCACAGUUUUCCUACUUUUCUGUCCUGUCAAUUGAGAAUAAUACAUUUCAAGAGAUGCUCUUGGAAAACACAUUUGAUGGAGAGGUUGAUUUUUGCAACCUGUAUGCCAUAGUCAGAAGAGCCGUCCUCUGGCAGGUAUGUGAAAGAACUGCCCAUGAGGAGUGAGAGGCUACUUCACACACCUCACGGCUCAGCUCCCCGGAGACGGCUUUACAGGCACACAAGCCCCUCUCCCAAGCCAUCUGCCAGGAGCCCCAUGAGGAACACGGCACAGCGCCUGCAUCAGAAGCCCAUGGGUUUGCCUAUCACAUGUGUUGUUUUCUCCUGAUCUGUGGCUCACAGGCUCAGCAUGACCCAACCUCCUAGAUUUCCCCCUCAGUGCCAUUUGCAGUGCCCCCAAGCACUUUCCUCCACUCCAGUCCCUGAGCGCAUGCCAACGGCCCUAUUUUCAGCCACCCCCUCCAUGCCUCUUGUCUGUCUCUAGCUGACAAGCAGAUUAUCUCUUGUGUCCACUUUGUUUGCCAAUGUACUUUGGCACCAUUGAAUUCCAACACAUGAAGUAAACUGAACUGUGUACAACGCUGAGCACACACGUGGUUUGGAGAGCAGCCCCUUGUCAGGAUCCAAAAUAUUCCCAAGCCUUGUUGAUAUUUGGGUCACUGCAGAGCUCUGAGUCCCCCUUCCUUUUUAAUCUUCUUCCCUUCGACUCAUUCUCAAUUUCUUUCUCUGAAACCAUGUGUGAACACACUUAUUCUUUCGAAUAGAUGCAUACUGUUCUUGCUUAUAUUUUUCUGUAACCGUCAUAUCUAAUAAAUACUUAUCAUCCAGGAAAAAA
rnacentral:lncRNA from 1 species